rnacentral:rRNA from 1 species
AGGGGGAUAACGAUUGGAAACGAUCGCUAAUACCGCAUGACAUAGCGGAAUCGCAUGGUUCUGUUAUCAAAGAUUUUAUCGCUGAUAGAUGGGCUCGCGUCCGAUUAGAUAGUUGGUGGGGUAACGGCCUACCAAGUCGACGAUCGGUAGCCGGACUGAGAGGUCGAACGGCCACAUUGGGACUGAGACACGGCCCAGACUCCUACGGGAGGCAGCAGUGGGGGAUAUUGCACAAUGGGGGAAACCCUGAUGCAGCGACGCCGCGUGAGGGAAGACGGUCCUCUGGAUUGUAAACCUCUGUCUUCGGGGACGAAACGAGAC